rnacentral:lncRNA from 1 species
UCGGAUGUAGCUAGUGGCGACACAUGGAUCUCCGGCAUCGACGGUGACUCAAUCCGCGGCAUUGGCUGCCGGCGGCGGUUAUGGAGGUGCCCAUCCUCCUGCACAUGCUCAUGUUUUUCUUGCCUCAGACUGCCCAAAUCACUGUGGAGCACGGCGAAACUCGUCCACCGUCGCACUUGACAGCCACUGUGAUGGGUUUCAAUACCAUUCCCUGUUGAAACCAAAAAAAACCCAGGUAUUAUUCAUUGCCUUUAUUCUUACUUUUUCGUUCUGGAGUAGGAGUAUUACUGAAGCAAGUACUACUACCUUAGGAUUACGAAAUCAGUUACCAANNNNNNNNNNUUGUGGAGCACGGCAAAACUCGUCCACCGUCGCACUUGACAGCCACUGUGAUGGGUUUCAAUACAAUUCCAUGUUGAAACAAAAAAAAACCCAGGUAUUAUUCAUUGCCUUUAUUCUUACUUUUUUGUUCUGGAGUAGGAGUGUUACUGAAGCAAGUACUACUACCUUAGGAUUACGAAAUCAGUUACCAAAUAAAGCAGGCAAUUUGUUCAUCCCCAUUACUUAUUUUUUUACGUCAGUACAGUUAAACAAAACACUAUCUCAAAAAGGCGCUACCUCAGAAUUACUGUUGAUCGUGAUCACAUCACAUCUCAAAUCGUUCAUAAGUUCCGACCAGUCAUAUCAACCCCAUUCAAAUCGUAAAACACACACUGAAUUGUGGCAUAAUCAUAGUCAAAAUCAGUCAAACGACUGCAAUAGACACUGAAUCUGCUCAGGGGAAAACAUAAUCAGGGAAACAAAUUGCUAAGGGAAAUAAAGUCUUUAAGUUCAGUUGCAAAUUUUCUUCAACCCGCUGCGUAGAGCCUCAUCUCACUUCGAUUUCACGAAUGAUAUAUCCCCACGGGAGCACAUCAUAUAGGGUUCUCUGCAGUCAUAAUAACUGCUCUUAGUACAUUCACUCAUAUAACCAGUGACAUUACACAUAAUAAAAACAAUGCUCAUGCAAAAUUAUAUUUCUCCUACAUUAUCCCAAUUUUCGAACAUUAUAAAGGGCAAUAGACGACAAUUCAAUGGACUAUCCUAAUUCGUUACUAGUAUCAUUUUGUCCACUUCUUCUGAAAGAAACACAAAUACGUAUAAUUUUAGAUAACCAAGAACGUAAAAAAGUAGGAACCUUAGUCUGCCUACGCCGUGUCCAUGGGCUGACUCUGGCUUCUCAGCUGCGUCCCUUGCACUUUCUUGAAUUUAGCAGUUAUACAUUCAGGUAGGCUUAGAUUUCCCAGCCACUGCGUCGCUUUCUUGAACAUAGUCUUUAUGCGCUUAAUCACCAUCUGAAAGAGAAAAAAAGAAUCAAAGGACAUAUGUAUGAUACCUUACUACUUUUUAAUUUGAAAUCAUCAGUCGUGAUCAAGAGGCAUUGUACCUCUGUCGGCUGAAAGUAAUUCAGCCAAAUGACCACCGUCAUGCACAAGACGACACAUGCAAAAGGCCAUACAACUGAUUUGGAAACACCUCUACAAACACACAGUGUUAUAAAUGGUGCUGCGCACAACCACAGAAGUAUUAAAAGCUGCACUAUUUGUAGGACUUUGAAUCCAAGAUUUUCAGGCAAUGCUCCCUCCUUGAAGCUUGAAGCAGGACCUAUCAGAAUAAGGCNN